ensembl:lncRNA
AUAACUAGAUUCACCUUGGACUCAGUGACAAAUGGUGAUCUUUGAUUCUUCCUAGUUUGCAAUAUGGAUUUCAGCAAACUUGAAUGCUUAAUUCACAUAUACGGGUCACAGCAGCAGUUAAGCAUUACCAGCCACCUGCAAAACUUGGCACCCCAGAAGAUGUAUGACAAGGAGUUGAAUAUUGGACUUGCCUUGCCCUCUAAUUGGAUUCAGAUGGUGAGUGCAAUUGAAUGGGUGGUGUUGAGAGUGGGGAUUCCACUUAGGAAGGUGAAUGCUCUUUGCCCAUGGGAGCAGGUUUGUUUCUGUCUUGUGUCUGUGAUAUUGCUCUUCAGGCUGACUAGCUACUACCCUGUUUUCCCGAAAAUAAGACAUCCCCGAAAAAUAAGACCUAGUAGAAGUUUUGCUGAAUUGCUAAAUAUAGGGCCUCCCCCGAAAGUAAAACCUAGCAGUUUUUGUUUGGAAGCAUGCCCAGUGCCUGCGAAUCAGAACACCAGAGCAUGCAGGAUUGGUAAAUGUACAUACCAGUUGUACAUGGAAAGAAUGGUAGUAACAAGAAAUUAUUGAUAGGAUUCACAGUUUUUCUGGUUAUGCUCGUUUGUGAUGAUAACUACUGUACAGUAUAUAAUAAAUGUUCAUUUUUUUGUUCAACAAUAAAUGUGAAUUCUUCUUCAUGGAAAAAUAAGACAUCCCCUGAAAAUAAGACCUAGCACAUCUUUGGGAGCAAAAAUUAAAUAAGACACUGUCUUAUUUUCGGGGAAACACGGUAGCUUGUAUAUUUGGUGUUUUCCAUUGCUGGAAUUUACCACAUUUAUUUUGGAAAAUCCAGAUGAAGUAAUUCCUUUCUUAUUUAAAUAUAGCUCAUUUUACCAAAUGUUUUAGUACAUUUCAUAUUCCAAAUAUAUGUUCAGUUAUUGUUGCACUUUCUUCUGCUUGGUAGUAGUGCCUUACGAUAUGGGCUGUGAAUGCUAACUUUUCAUGGUUUUGCAGCUUGCUACCUGUCCCUGACUCGUUUUCUGUGUUGACCAAUAUGUCUCCAGGGAAACUAGUGAUCUUCCUGUAGAGAGAGCUUUUUUAAAAAAUAUAUCUUGACAACUUUAUUAAUAUUGUAAUGCAUUGGUAUGGCACAUUACUCUGUUUUUCUGCAGGAUCACUCCAUAGUUUCAACCCCCACACACAUUUUUUCUUAGCCGAAGAAAAAUAGUUACCACUGUAGUCGUUCACAGCAAUGCUGCUAAAGUUCUAGACAUAUACUUUUCAAAAUGUAAGGUACUACAUAUAGGAAAGAAAAGUGAAAUGCCCAAAUAUGGGAUGGGUGACAUUGAGCUUGACAACAACACAUGUAAAAAGGUCUAGAGUUCUUUGUAGACCACAAGCUACACAUGAGUCAAUAGUGCAAUGUAGAGUCACAUAAUCUAUUAAAGCAGGCUGGAACUGGUAUCUCAAACACUGAUUCUGGUCCACUUCGCAGCCUGUCACAAAUGUUUUCAGGCACCUCAGCAUCUACAGAGCCUCUCUGCAGCUCAACCAUUCUGAAUGUGAUUCAGCCAUCCUACGUCCUCCACAUAGGAACCAGCUGCAGGUAUCUGUACUACCAUAACUCAAUGGACAAUCUAAAU